GACGAACGCUGGCGGCGUGCUUAACACAUGCAAGUCGAACGGAAAGGCCCUGCUUUUGUGGGGUGCUCGAGUGGCGAACGGGUGAGUAACACGUGAGUAACCUGCCCUUGACUUUGGGAUAACUUCAGGAAACUGGGGCUAAUACCGGAUAGGAGCUCCUGCUGCAUGGUGGGGGUUGGAAAGUUUCGGCGGUUGGGGAUGGACUCGCGGCUUAUCAGCUUGUUGGUGGGGUAGUGGCUUACCAAGGCUUUGACGGGUAGCCGGCCUGAGAGGGUGACCGGCCACAUUGGGACUGAGAUACGGCCCAGACUCCUACGGGAGGCAGGGGGGGGGAAUAUUGCACAAUGGGCGGAAGCCUGAUGCAGCAACGCCGCGUGCGGGAUGACGGCCUUCGGGUUGUAAACCGCUUUCGCCUGUGACGAAGCGUGAGUGACGGUAAUGGGUAAAGAAGCACCGGCUAACUACGUG
rnacentral:rRNA from 1 species